AAAUAUAAGAAUAAUGCUGGGGUCAUCACAAACAGAGGCAGAUGGUGGUGGCAUUUCCUUCUUGCCGGGAGCUCAGAUAUUAUCUGGAUAGAUUUCAGCAGGCUUUGUGUCCAUUCCCUCUCAGCGCGGGCAGCUUUCCUGGAUAGAGCCCCAGCCACCCAAACGGCAGACAGAUUUGAUUUAACUGCGAUGACUUGUGUAUCGGGUGACUUUGGAUGGUUUAAAACAAUGGCCUGUGGAAUCUACUUACACAGCACUAUGGGAAUGAGGAUGAAGGGUCAUAUCCAUGGUUAAUCCGAUCAAUUGUCUGCUACACACAGAGGAGUUUUUCUACCUUUGGUAGA
rnacentral:lncRNA from 1 species